UAGCUCAGUUGGUAGAGCAUGGUGCUUGUAACAUCAGGGACGUGGGUUUGAUUCCCGC
rnacentral:tRNA from 1 species